UACAGAGGUGGCAAGCGUUGUCCGGAAUUAUUGGGCGUAAAGAGCUCGUAGGCGGUCUGUCGCGUCGGCUGUGAAAACCCGGAGCUCAACUCCGGGCCUGCAGUCGAUACGGGCAAACUGGAGUGUUGCAGGGGAGGACUGGAAUUCCUGGUGUAGCGGUGAAAUGCGUAGAUAUCGGGAGGAACACCAGUGGCGAAGGCGACUACCUGGCCUGUUUCUUGACGCUGAGGCGCGAAAGCUGAGGGGAGCAAACAGGG
rnacentral:rRNA from 1 species